AGACUUGGUAGAGGUGGAGAUGCCUCCAGUAGAAGUGGAAAUUCAUUUUCCUGGACAUAAUCUCACCACAUUCUAAAUCUUCAACUCAAGGUGUUCAAUGGAGAGAAUCAGGAGUAGUAAGAAAUCCAUGCAGGAGUGACUCCAGGGAGGCCAUAACUACUGAGGGGUUCUCCAUGAAUGGCAGCUUGUGAUACCUACAGCCAAAUGUGCCAAGAGGAUCCAAAUACCAAUGUCAGUCUCCCAAAGCAACAGAAAUAAAAGCAAAAAUAAACCAAUGGACCUCAUCAAACUGACAAGAUUUUACACAGCAAAGGAAAUGAUAAAAAAAACCCAAAAAACAAAAAGACAACUUACAGAAUGGGAGAAAUGGUUUCAAAUGAUGCAACGGACAAGGGUUUAAUCUCUAAAAUAUACAAACAACUUAUACAACUCAACAGCAAAAAAGCCAACAACCCAAUGGAAAAUGGGCAAAAGACCUGAAGAGACUGUUCUCCAAGGAAGAUAUACAGAUGGCCAACAAGCACAUGAAAAAAUGCUCAACAUCCCUGAUUAUUAGAGAAAUGCAAAUCAAAACUACCAUGAGGUACCACCUCACACCAGUCACAAACCAUCGUUCAUAAGUCCACAAAUAACAAGUGCUGGAGGGAGUGUGGAGAAAAGGGAACCUUCAUGGACUGUUGGUGGGAAUGUAAACUGGUCCAACCACUCUGGAGACAGUAUGGAGGUUCCUCAGAAAACUAUACAUAGAACUACCAUGUGACCCAGCAAUCCCACUCUUGGGCAUAUAUCCAGACAAAACUACUUAAAAAAGACACAUGCACCCACAUGUUCACUGCAGCUCUGUUCACAACAGCCAAGACAUGAAAACAACCUAAAUGUCCAUUGACAGAUGAAGGAUUAAGAAGAUAUGGUAUAUAUACACAAUGGAAUACUACUCAGCCAUAAAAGAGAACAAAAUAAUGCCAUUUGCAGCAACAUGGAUGGAACCAGAGACUCUCAUCCUGAGUGAAGGAAGUCAGAAAGAGAAAGACAAAUACCGUAUGACAUCACUUAUAUCUGGAAUCUAAUAUAUGGCAGAAAUGAACUUUUCCAUAGAAAAGAAACUCAUGGACUUGGAGAACAGACUUGUGGUUGCCAAGGGAGACGGGAAGGGAGUGGGAUGGACUGGGAAUUUGGGGUUAAUAGAUGCAAAUUAUUGCCUUUGCCAUGGAUAAGCAAUGAGCUUCUGCUGUAUAGCACUGGGAACCAUGUCUAGUUGCUUAUGGUAGAGCAUGAUAAUGUGAGACUAAAGAAUCUACACAUGUAUGUGUAACUGGGUCACCAUGCUGUACAGUGGAAAACUGGCAUAACACUGUAAACCAGCUAUAGUGAAAAAAAUAAAAGUCAUU
rnacentral:lncRNA from 1 species